AAAUCAAUUGGUGAAUAGCUCUUAAUUUGAUAACCAAGGGAAUUGUAACCAAAAAAAAGGUCUUUCUUUCCCCAUUCCAUUUUGUCUCAUUUUUCCAUUCAAGUUCACUACUAUUCAUGACUUUCUCCAUUCAAGCACAUGAAGCUGUCAAUAGUCUAUAUAUUGUAGGUGAGAGAUCGAAAUCGCGUUCCUAGUUUAACUGAAUCUGCUAAACUCACACACCAGGAUCGGAAGACCCAAUCAAAUUAUCUGGGAAAAGAUUAAAAGCCCCUUCCAGGUAACUUGUCAGGAUCGAUCUUGUAUUAGCCUAUUAGGUCUGUUUGCUGAAAAUGAGAAAUUAUUUGCGCUUACAUAAUCUUCCCCGGCCCUCAGGCUGGAGACGCUACAUAAAUCUUAAGAUGAUGAAGCUUGUGCUGCUUGUUGUGAUUUCUGAUAUUGCCACUUUGGUUUCAAAAUCAUAUUUGCAUAAUAUAUGAUCAUCAUGUUCCUUUGAUUCUGGAAUCUUAUAGUUGGUAAUUGAAACAAAUCUCUGCUGUACGUGUAUGUAUGUAAUUAUCUGUGUAUGGGCCAAGGACAUUCUCACACUACAUUUAGGAAGCUAGGAUAUCUAUCUGUACGUAUGAUAUGCAUGAGCUGUAAUAUCCAACCUAUUAUGAUCAUGUGGUAGUUUUUAAAAGUGGAGAAUUGGAUUGGAGUUACAUGACCUAAAUUGUUAUCUCCAGAAUUCGUAGUUAUAGUUUUCUAAAGUUAUAUUGAAUGUACUGAGUUCUUGCUUUCUAUCAUACUGUCUUGUGUUGUGUCAAUGAAAAUAUACAUUGGUAUAUAUAUAUAUAUAUAUAUAUAUAUAUAUAUAUAUAUAUAUUACAUGAAAGACUGCUGUAUAAUGAAGAAAAAUAACAACGAAAAAACAAUCAUUUUGCGCAAAACACUCAUGAAAGUGAUGAGGGAGAAAGAUGAUAAGGCAACAAAUUCCUCUUUAUAUUAAGCUUGUAAAACAUUUCAACUCUCCCUCCCUCAAAGAUGUAUCACUGUCCUUACCAGACUUCCCAGCAUACACCUAGCCUUUUUGAUAUAGCAUAAUCAAUUACUGAUUCUUUACGUUUAAUCAAUAGAUGGAAAGGGACUGAGCCUAGCAACUGGAACACAAACCAAUGGAUGAGCUCUUGGAAGUGUUAAUCCAAGGCCCUCUUCCAUGUCAACACUACCACUAGGUACCUUCCAUUCAAAGCACUGAAUCAUAGCUGCAAGUGUUGUCUGCACAACCUGCAGUGCAAGUGAGGUUCCAGGACACCCUCUUCUUCCACUACCAAAUGGCAACAAAUGAAAAUGUUGUCCUCUCACGUCUAGUUGGCUCUUCCCGUUACCUUCAUUGUGUGUAAACCUUUCUGGCUCAAACUCCAGAGGCUUCUCCCAGUGAUUGGGGUCUCUGUUGACAGCCCACACGUUAACAAACAACCUGGUUCUUGCUGGAAUAUCAUAGCCGCCAAUUGAACAGGGUUCAGUUGACUCUCUCACAAUUAAUGGACCUGUUGGAUGAAGCCUUAGUGUCUCUUUCACUAUGGCUUGCAGGUAUGGAAGGUUUGCAAUGUCUGAUUCUUGUACUAGCCUGUUGUUCCCAAUUAUGGUGUUGAUUUCUUGUCUUGCUUUGUUCAUGAUAUCUGGGUGGUUGAUUAGCUCCGCUAGUGCCCAUUCUGUUGUAAUCGCAGAUGUGUCGGUACCAGCAGCAAAUAUGUCCUGUGAUCAAUAUUCAUGGAGAAUUGAUAAACAUGACUUGCUUGAUUUGUAAUAAUUUCCAAGUAGUAAAUAUUUCAUUUACGCCUGGUAUAUAAUAUCUAAUCAUCUUUUCAUACUAUAAAUGUACUGCUACAUGUAACUAUGAGAUACCACAUGCAUUUUACUUGUAUAAAAAGUUUGCAAAACAUUCGGUUCUUUUAUUUUAUAUUAUCAGUAAAUAGUCAUCCACAGAAUAAUAUUAGUGUUAGCAGCCCAAAAUAUUGCUUGCUGUUUCAAGUUAAUCUCAAGUUAAACUUCUGUAGUGACCUCAAAGUUAUAAGGCAUAGAUAUAUAACGCAAAGUUUUAGUUAGUAGUUGUCAUUCAACAAAUUGUAGAUAAGGCAUGAUUUAAAAGCUGUACUUGUAAUGUGCAUACAGGCAUUUAUUUAUCAUAUCAGUGAAUUAGCACCAAACAUUAGGCACUGAGAGUUUUGUGGUAAGAAGAAUAACGUACCAGGAUGAAGGCCUUUAUGUUUUCUCUAGUGAGUCUGAUCUCUGAGGUCUCAUCUUCAGAUAUAUCAAGUAAAAUGUCGAGCAAAUCUUUAACAUAACCAUCACUUUCUGCCACUUUCUUCUUCUUUAGUGCCUCUUGAUGCUCCUUUAUGAUCCUCUCCAUCAUAGUGUCAAACUGAUCACGCACUUUCUUAAGAUUUUUCCCAAAUCCCUGCAAAUCCAAGUUCUUACAAAACCAAAUGAAGUCUGACAAAUUGAACUUCCCUGUUAGCUCAGCAACAGCUUUGACCAACUUUCUGACCUCAUCAGCCUCUUUUUCGCUCGCAGAACAACCCUGCCCCAUAAGCAUUCUUGAUAUGAUAUUGUUGGUUACAUUCAUAAGCUCAGCUCCAACAUCAACUGCUUCAUUUGCCUUGGCCUUGUUUAGCAUCAAGUCUAUGAAGCUCGUCAUCUCUUCACGCCUCACUGGAAGGAG
rnacentral:lncRNA from 1 species